GGCUGCAGCCUCCCUUGCAGUUCCUUGCCUUAGACGCCCGUGCCAGCCCAUUCAACCAUCACAAAUGCUCAGACAGAGCAGAAGGUUCCCAACAGGCUGCGCCUGCGCUGGACCACCCCCUUUCCUCCUUCCUUCAGCUGCCCCUCUUUCUGGAUGGGUAAAAGCACUUCCAUGUUUUCAGAGGCGUGGAGGGAGCCCGAGAAGAGCAGAUGUUGACACCACCAUCACUGCCUGCAGCAGUGAGACCAGGGGCACAGUUUUUGUUGAAAGGGUCGACCAGGAAGCACUUCCUUGACUCUGUCCUAAAGCCUCUGGAGAGCCCUUAAAUUUGUGGUCCUUGAAGCUAUUGUAAAGGUAUUAUUCAGGAACAAGAUGGGCAAAACAUGAAUAGGACAAGCUUUCUGCUCUCCAGGGACUCCCUUGAAGAUGUGUCACAACCCCAAGCCAGUAUGAGCAUCUCCGUGGAGAGGAAGAAAAAGCAUCAACGAAAUGAGGUGCCCCAGCGGUUCUGGGGAGCAAUUCCUCUCUUCAUAUGACCAUUUGGGAAACCCCCAGUGAGAUGGAGUGUGCUUUUAAGCCAUGAAAACCAUGCACAUCAGCCCCACCACAGAGCCUGUGUGAUUUCAUCUUAGAUGGUAUCUUGGAAGCAAGACCUACCUGGACUUUUUAGAAAUCUAAUCUAAUCAUUUUCUGUCUUGGAGUAGGGAGUUGAAAGGCACAAGUGCGGACAAGAGGAUCAAUCAAAGCUCCGUUCUGUUCCCAAUCCUUCCAGUCCCGAUGCUCCAGAGAGCAGGGGAGGCACCUGUACACAGGUACUGGGCAUGACUGAUGAGGCAGUGCCCAGGAGCCCAACUUCCUCGAAGCGAGAGAAAGGACAGAGAUGCUAAGAUCUGCACACUUCCACAUUUUAGAGAAUUUGGGAGACCCAUGUUGGAUGUGGACCGUGGUUCUUAUUGGUAUUAUUUUCUGAGUGGUAGAUGUGCUUAAUCCCAGCACCUGCCUAAACUGAUGACAACAGCGGCUUUCCUACUGGAAGGACAUUGCCACUUGAUAGCAUAUGCUGUACCUCGCUUGCAUGUCCCUGCUUCCAAGCUUUGGGGAUUUCUAGGAUUGUUUUCUCCUAGUUUCCUUGUGUCACGUGGGCUCCUUUAUAAAAUAUCCCCAUAUAAUAGUGCAUGAUGUGCUCUAUUACAAAACACAAAUGUGUCUGUCCAAGACAGCCUGGGGGCAGCGAGCUGGGGCGUGGCAAGGAGACCAACUGGAAUGACGGGAGAGCCCUAGUGGAUGCACAGUGCACCGCUCUUACACCACAAGCCUCCCGCCCCAGCAUGAUUUAACCCGUGAAGAAAGCAGAGCAUUUAAUAUGUUCUACAGAUGUUUUAAAAAAGGAAUAACGGCGCUUGUCCCAAGUGUGGGAUGGAGGCACACACUCUUCUGAGAUGUGAAGCAAAUUUCAUAUCUCAAAAGAGAAAAAGGACAACAGUUCCUGCUCAGUCACCAAGUCUGAUUCUCAACCCUGGAACGCCUCAGCCUGCCUGAGCCCAGAAAUGAGGCUCCUUGUGAACACUAUGGAAAUGCAAUGGCUGUUUUGAUUUUCCAUAAUGGACAGCACACUGGUCCAGGAGGCAUAUCCAAUCUAAAUGAACUAGCAUCUGUGAAACUUCCUAGCACAGUCCCAGCACAUCGCAGGAGCUGAACUAAUGUUCUUUUCCCUUCCCAAGGAACCCUGAAGCCUUUGAAGGAACCGUGAUUGGGAAGGCAUCAGCAUUUGCUUUUCGCUGGUAUAAAUUUGGACCACUGGUCUGCCCGGGGUGUCCCCUGCCAGUGGUCGUGGACUGCUAGGGAAGCACAGCACACCCCCCAACACCCCCCCGCAAGGAAGACCCCUCAUUGCCCACCAAUGUCCUCUUUCUGGCGUCCCUCACGUUCCUGGCCGAGACCCUCCGUUCAGUCACGCCAUGAGGUCAGGGCCACGGUUGCCAUUGUCUGCUGGAAGCCAGUGCAGCACUUGGAGCUUAGAAGAUGCACACAACUCUUUGUUAAAGAACAAAGAAAUGGGAGAAACUUUUUAAAAGAAAAUAAACAGAGAGAAAGAGGGUGAGACGAAGACUGUGGCUGAGGCUUUGUUUUCAGGCCGAAAGCAGGACACUCAGCUCAUUCUCAAUGAAACUUCAACAUCGAUAAUUCAAAUGUCUUAGAAAUUGUACAUUGGAAGGGGAAAUAAAAUGAUUUUUCAGCUCUUUUAGGCUUACAGAUACCUAAAUGAAGCAUAGAUUGUAGAAUGUUGUUCAGAAGGGAAUUAAAUUUGGAUUUCAUCCUUCCCAGGGACUGGGGGCACUGCUUGUCACUUUGACUCAAAUGGAGAGUCCCUGCCACUGCUUGCUUGCCUUCAUCUGACCACACUGUGCUAAGCGCCCAGCCCCAGGGUAUAGCUGAGCCCUGCACCAGCUGCAGUGAACCGCUUGGCCGGGUGCCCUCUUAGAUCCUCCCUGCCCUGUUCCCUGGCUCUCUGUCCCCUGCGGUCCUCUUCUCUAGGACUGUUGAAACUUCUCCGCAUCUGGUCAGCUUCACACAAAAGGGCUCCUAUUUUACAGGCUGAGAGCCCCUUCCUGUGUGUUGUCAAAACUGACACAUCGCAUUGCUUAGGUUUAAUCUUCAGGUACUUUUUCUGUUUUUUUACCUAUAAAAUUAAUAUAAGCAUAUGCUCCCGUAAUCAACACAAUUUAGAUAAAGCAAGAGUUCCUCUGGGCCCUCCCACUUCCAUUUGCAUUUUCUUUUCUGUGGACUAACUGGUCAUCUUCUUUAUCCACUUGUCUAUGAGGUUGUUGAUCUUGGUCUUUUUUCUUAUUAACAGAUAGGAAUUCUUCAUAGAGCCUAGAUAACAAUCCAGAAUUCAUGUGUAUACGCACGCAUUUAUCUAUAUGUAUAUGUAUAAGCACAUUACACACAUACAUUUGCACACAUACAAAUGUUAGAAAUAUCUUCUCCAACUCUGUUGCUUGUCUUUUAUCUCAGCUUAUAGAGGUUUCCGAUUUUGAAUCAGAAGUUUCACAUUUCAUUGAAGGUAGACAUCACUCUUUCUCUAUUUGCUUUUGUGAUUUGUGUCUUGCUCAAGGCCUUCCCUGUCCUACCCCCAUGUCAAAAGCAUGUUCUCCACUAUUUUCUUUCAGUCCUUAAUCUUUCUUCCGUAGGUAGCCAAUGUCCAGCACGUUUGGUAAUGACACCUCCUCGGUGAAGCGCAAGGCCACCUUGACCCCAGCUCCCAUGGGUCUGUCUUCAGGGGAAUUUUGAGGUUGUUUUUGCUGCAGGGUGUCAGGAACUCCUUCCUCUCUGAUUCUUGGAAAAGUUUACUGUUUGCUGCUGGCUUUGUGGUCUCUCCUCCCUGUGCAGGUAGGGUGUGGAGGGUAAUCAGAGUCAGUCCAGAGGUUGCUCAAAGUUUCAGUUUAUCUCCAGCCACUAUUUGCUAACUCAUCUGAGAAUUCUGCCAAGAUAAACAUCAGACAGACCCUCCUAUGGUUCAAUCAGUCUGCUCCUGGGAAAAUUAGGACAUGUGUCUGCCCGGCUCUGCUGGUGUUCCUGAGAGUGACUGGUCUCUGUGUGACCUUUCAUUGGCCAGGCUCCCCCAAGGGAAACGUCCACCAGCAGAAAAAGUAGGAAAAAAAUCCCUUUAUGCAGAGAAAAUACACUGCAGAAACAAACAUAGUCUAACCCUGCCUUUUAAAACAUAGCUUUUAGACUGAAAGAGUUCACCCUUCCUCUCUCCACCUGGUCACUCUUGGGAUGACAAUUUCAAAUCCCACAUAACAUUCACAGUGUGUUAUUCCCAUGCAAUUACCUUGUUAGGUUUCAUACAUUUAGAACACGGAGGGGGACAGGGGAUGCUUCUCCGCAGUCUCUUCGUUAUUGGGACAUACUCCAACGCUCAGACAGCUCCACAAUGCACCUUUCUCCCACUCUUCAUUCCUUUUCUGGCAACACUCUUUCUCUCUCAGAGGAUUUUAAAAACAUGUCUUGUUACAAAAAGCAAAGAAUGACAGUUGCUUCAGAAAAAUACCCAACUGAAAGAUCCACUCCCUGACCAUGGAGAGCUCACUACAGAUCUAGAAACGCGAGGCAGAGACUUGAAGAUGCUGCACACAUCCUGUGUGGGAGUGGGAGAAAAGCUGCUGCUUCCUUAGCAUUAAAACAGACAGGGUCAUUUCAGCCUUGCAGGGGAUGACCAGCCCUCACUGGAAUUAUGUGAUGGCAUCACAUUUGCUCCUCAUGUAAACAUUCCAGCGGGAGAACGACUGCUCCCUGAAGACACUCAUGGUGUGAUAAACAGCAGUCAGUGGAAUCAAGGCAGGGGCGAGGUCCUCUUCCUUCUGCCUCCUUCUCACCAUGGCACCUUGAGAGAGGCCCUUUGUCCCUCGGGUUUUUCCAUUUUCUCAUUUGCAAAAUGAAGAGGAUCCCAUCUACACCGUCGUGUUUAGAAAUGACACAAGAUCACAAAAACCUCUGCCGCCUCGAAGAUACAGAAUUGCUGGUGAGGCUCGUUGUCUGAGAGCCGGGCUCUGCUCCCCUCGGGGCCAAGUCUACCAAUUGUUCUUUGGAAAACAAAAGCUGGAGGCAUUAAAACUGGGCUGUUCCAAGUGUUCUUUACGUUUUAUAAAUUUUAUAAGGUGAAACUCAAUAUUUAGAUGAUUGGUAGAAACGUCUCUUGGGGGCUUUAUGGUUUUCUAACAUAGAGUGGGGGGACAUGUUACCUCGGCAGGAGCAUGUGGGCUGAGAGGAGGGAACCACAUCAGGGAGGCCGGUGACUGGAGAGGGAAGUCCUCCUCCUGUGGAGGGCCUGGCCCUCAUGGAUUCCCCACUUCCAGGCAACUUUGUGACCUCAGAGAAGCUAACCUGAUGUGCAUGCUACUGACGUUGCCCAUGCCGCUCCUGCUGGCUGAUGGAACUAUCUGUCUGGAGUCUGUGGAUGGCAGACCUCCUGAUUGUGUGGAGCGUGAGUUUUUCGAAAGAGAUCUCUCACUUUCAUCCAGGCUGGAGUGUAGUGGCACACACCACCACACCAGGAUAAUUCUU
rnacentral:lncRNA from 1 species